UGCAGUCAAGUCAAAUUCAUCCCCUGUCAUGGUGGGGGCUGGCCCAGAUGGCUGCCACAUCAAACUCUGCUGCUUAUGAACUCUGGAUCUCCUGCCCUGGCACCUGGGGACAAGUUUGGCUGCAGACAUUG
rnacentral:snoRNA from 1 species